rnacentral:lncRNA from 1 species
UAAGAAUGUACGAGGUAUUACAAUAUCUCCCCCUUGAGAACAUUCAUCCUCGAAUGAGACUAGUCAAACUGAGGAUACUGAGGAACUAUACUAUAUCUGGCAUGCAUAAAUGAAAGCAUGACUAAAAUGAUUUACAAAAUCAAGAAUUAACAAGAAAAUGACUAUAUAAAUCUGAGACUUAGAAUGGAAAGAGAUGAUCUGAGGAAACUUGUCACCUCACACUGAAUCUGAA